UGGACGAUAUGACGCGAUCCGACGUUUCCAGACGAACAUGCUGAUCUCUACAUGAACGCCCCUUUCUGAAUCCUGACUGGAUGUGGGUAAG